UCAGUGCUAGGAUCAGAACACUUCCCCGCCUCCCUGCACACACAUUCCCUGCCACCCGCUGGAUUUAGUAAGUGACAAAUAAACCUCACUUUUGUUAAGCCAUCCAGAUCUGAGAGCGUAUGGAUUACAAUAUCUUAAUGAAUAGAACAUUCGUUAAAAAAAGGAGUUGUCUUGCUCUCCUGCAGAACUGUGAAGUCCCUGAGGCCAGGGCUGUGCCAAUUGCAUUCUCUUCUACGCUCUUGCUCUCGGCAUAACGACAGCACCUCAGACAAAGUGGGCAUCAAUUUAUUCCACAAAUAAAUGAGGAACUGCAGACAGAAUUCCCCGCCUUCCUCGAGCGUCUGAAUGAAGGAAAGAAGGAUGCAUUGCUCUCAGUUUGAUAACAGAAAUUCCAAUCACUAGCAGCCAGUGACUCACAAUGUAUGUUGAGUAAAUAGAUUUUUUUCUACCACUGAUUAUCACGGAGGUAAAAGAGAAUAGGUUCUGAGAAGGACUCGGAUUUACCCAGGAUAGUUGGAAGAACCCAGAACGGAGGUCACAGUCUCUGGGUGGCCAGUAGAAUGAACGACUGUUAUGAACUUGCCCAAGUGCAGUGCUGGGGCGGAAGCUGAGGGUUUCCCCUGAGAUUGCAGCCCAUGACCCUGGCAUGGGCCGAGUCCCCCCGUGGACAGGUCCGACGGUGGAUUCCUUAGCAGCACCCAAGAUACUCUGUCAAGUUCACUAGAUUGUCUCUCAGGCGUGAACUGCUGGAAUCGGUUCAGUAGCAACUGCUGAGCCAAGACAAUUAUUCUGAGAAAAUGGAGCUUCCAACAUGAGCAGCGCCUUGAAACGCUGGCCCUGAGGGAGUUCCACGGACUCUGGCCUCACUGGAGGGAGAGCCAGGCUGGAGGGGACCGGAAGUGGGAAUGGCAGUCGCCUCACCGCCUGCAGGUGAGUGAAAGGACCCGCUCAGAAAAACAGGCCUUGAGGGGAUUCUGUCUGGCAACCUUCAGGAGCCAGCUGUGAGGGGACACCUCUUCUGAAGCGGGCUUCCUUGAAGGCCGGUUCAGAGACCCUCUGCUCCCUGCUGUGCAGAGGGUAGGAUUUGCUACCAGAACACGGAUCAGGACUUUCUACUUCGCUGGAGUGUCUCCUGGCUCUGCCUGUAAGGCAAUAGGUCCUCCCAGUUUGUCAGCCUUUGCCUGUGGUGCUUCUCUAGGGGUGAUCUUGCCCUUUAAGAGACAGUUGGCAACGUCUGAAGACAUUUUUGUCUAUCACAACUCAGAGGGCGCCGGGCAUCCCGUGGAUGGAGGCCAGGGUUGCCGCCGAACCUUCUACAGUGUAUAGGAAACUCCCCACAACAAAGAAUUGUCUGGCUCAAAAAGCCACCGUUGUAGAGGUUGAGACGCCAUGGGCCAUAUCUUAAUGCCAGCCAGCCCUCUCCAGGAAAAGCAGCACUGAAUUUGUAAAAUGCAUACAUUUUAGCUAGUAUUUUAUCGUCUUGACUAGAAUACAUAUUUUUCAGCCAUGGGAAAGAUUUUUUUUCGUUUUAAUAAGGUGGAAUAGGAUGGUGUUGAAAGACCCAUUGUAUAACUAUACCUUCGAGAAAUUCCUUGGCAUUCUCAAUAUUCUUAGAUUUUUCUGACAAGUAAAGGGUUGGUAAUGCGAAAGUAGCUUUGGAAAUUGGAAUUGCUUGUAAACUUUAUAAAGGACUCAUGAAUUCUCUUU